CCCCCCUCACGCGCCCCGUCUGCGCGCUGGUGUUGGGGCUCCUCCGCCUGGCGGAGGGCCCUGAAAGCGAGUGGCGGGCCUGGCUGGUUGGCUCCGAGCGCAGUACCGAACGCACCGUUCCUCCCUCGCUCGCGGGCCCCGCCGGCGCCCAGCCGUCAAAACCGCAGCGCGCCCCGCGCGCCGCACUUUCACAA
rnacentral:misc_RNA from 1 species